GAUGACUAAUAAAGUCCAUAAAAACCAGCAGGUCUCUGGUGUCUGAUGACCAGAGAUGAAAAUCGCAGAACAAACUGAUUUCAAAGCCAUGUCUGAUGUGUCAGCUGCUCCAGGCUCUCUGCUCCAGCCAGGCACCUGCCCCACCAGAGUGUACUGCUCUGGGACACGGAAGAGCUGCUCGCUGCCUGGGCUCCCUGGUUCCCCUCUCCGCUCACUCAGGACCGGAGAGUUGUUGUCAUACGGGGACACCUCGCCACUGGACGCCUUGUUGGAGUCGCUGGAGGAACGGCGCUCGCUCAGGGUGAAGGGCUCCUCUGACUGCAGCAGGUCGGGACUCCUGUGGGGGGGAAAAAAAAAAAAGUUUGGAUGACAAGGAGAAGAGAGGAACGAGAGACACGAGACCACAUGCUGUUUGUGUGCGUGUAACUCACUGUGACGCUUUUCUCCUCAGAAGGUAGUCCACCACAUCUGGAUCAGUCUCCAACAGACUCAUCAACACCUCAUUUUGCAGAUCAGGAGAAACCUACAACAACAAAAACAACAGCAACAACAACUUGACUAAAAUCAAUAAAGAACUUUUGUUCUAUUUUAA